CCAAGCGAUCGACAAGAAUUUGGGAAGGGAGUAGACAAGAAUAAGCUAGAUGAAUUAACCUCUGCAGCAAAAAAAAAUCUAAAAUAAUAAACUAAUCUAAGAAAAAAGAAAAAGAAUAAUAAACUUCCUUGAAUGAAUGAGCUUUCAGCCUUCUAGGCUUCAGGGCUCCUGCAUGGGCCCAUUCUCUGCCAAACAGAAUAAGAUUUUAAUAUGGCCCUUCUUGGGAGUCAAGCUAUCCGUGCUCUAGGUGAGACCCUUGGGGCUUGCUAUGCAUGGUUUGAGCCUUGGGGAGUGGGGGUUUAUUUAUAGGUACCUGGGGUUUGUUAGACUAUGUUCAUAUCUGAUGUGACGCUGAAAAAGAGCAAAACAUAUAUUUGGAUUGAUUCUAAAGUCCAAAGAAGACUUCAAAAAACCUAAAACACCUCUAGAAACCAGUCCAAGUCACUUUGGGUCACUUCUCAUUGGCUCAUUCGAACUAGAGACUAUUUGACAAAAAUACUGCUAUUCUCUGCAAUUCUAGUUAAAUGACCAAAACUCUCUCCCCGGAACUCAGAAUUGAGUUCCAUAAAAUGUGAUGGACUUCUCCCUUGAUGUUCUUUCCAACAAAUAUCACUAUGCCGAUAUUUAGAUUCGUAAAAAAAUUGAAAAAUUUGGAAGUAUAUUGUAAGUGUCAAGUGAACCGGUUUGGUCAGGGCAUGUGAAUCGGUGUCCAAAAAGGAGCCUACGAAAUCCCUAUUGAUGCCAUGAUAAGGAUUAUGGAGUAAAUGAGUAUUUUGAGUGCAUUUUGAUAGAAAAUUGGGGCAUUAUAACUAGCAGAUAUUUAGAUUACUUGGUGACAUGGCCCAAAGUGGAGUAUCUAAAAGUCGAACCUAGAAUAUUUAAAACAGAUGACGUUUACAAUCAUAAUAUUUUUUUUCAAUAUAGCAUGUGCCAAACACUAGUACUAAACAACUAUGCUAUCCAUGCACAACCACCAUUUAGGGGUCAUGUGGACCAUAGAUUGGUUCUUUCUCUACUCAUUAAACAUAGCAUCUGGUGCUCAAAACUUCCUAAACAAUUGGCAGUCUGCACAGGGUUGAUCCUGUUAAUAAUUUUGGAUAUGCUUAAACUAGACCCACUAAUGGAAUCCCCAAGAACAAGUGCAAAUUGAUCACAUGCCAAGUAGCUUUACAAUCCUGCAAAUGAUAAGUGAAGUUGCACACAAAUUGAUCAGGUGCCUUGUACUUAAGCACCACAUGGUGCUGUAAUGAAGCUUAGCAUGGUAGUUUCGGACCAAAACUACUAGAGGGGCCAGAGCAUUUUUUAAAAUAAGGCAUGGGGCCAAUCUGCAAAAUCCCUCAAUUAGAAAUAAUUAUGAAAUUAUUUUGAUUUUUAAUUAUUGUUUCUUGAACUAAUUAUUUAUAGAAAGAUAUUUUAAAAACAAAUAUAUUGAAAAUAUAGGUUUAGUCUUAAAUGAUUAAACAACAAUGCAUUUUUUAUAAAUUUAUGUUCAUCAUAUAUUUUUAAUUAAUUGAAAAUAUAUAUGUUUAAAACUAUUGUUAAGUUACCCAAAAAAAAAAGAUAAAUUAAUGCACCAAAAAAAAGGUGAAUGCUCUAAGAAAGUGCAUACAAUGAACUUUGCAUUUCAGGCCAUGCUAAAUAAAUUUGAAAAAUUAAAAAAUUGUUAAAAAGUUUGGAUAAGCUAGUGUCUAGCACAUAUCAUUGAUGAUAGUAGCAAUUACUUGAAUGAUUUUGGAUUCUUGGUGAUACUAUUGUUAAAUGAUAUUAUAAAUAUAUUUUCUAUUUAUUUAUAUUUUAAUUACUUACUCUAACACAUCUUUUAAAUGCAUUUUUAAUUGCAAGUUAUGUGAUGUUGUGGGAUAUUUAUGCAUGUUAAUGACUUAAACAAACAAAAAAAACCUUGAGUAGGGCACCACUCAUUAAUCCAGCUUUUUUCUUCUACAGAAACAUAGCAUUUAGAUAAGAAAAUAUUACAAGGCCCAAAACCAAAGCUUGUAGGCUAAUAAAAUUCACACAAAUGUAGUGUACUCCUGUAUCUCUGCAUAAACAAUUACCCAUCAAUACCUUUUGCUGUCGCGACCCUCGACAUGGCAUGUACCAUGCCCAUGGGUAGUUGAUAACUUGAUAUGCUACCACACCUCGAUAUUUCAAACCUUUGGUCCGAUACCGAGGCAGAUCAUGUUAUGAUAAAGCAUCAAGAGCAUCCAUCAUUGUCAAUCAUGUGUUACCAUUUGCUUGAAUCAUAUUGAUGACCCUAAAUUCAUAUGCUUCAAAUGCUUUUACAUUGAAAUUGACCAUGCAGUCUUGUGUAUUGAUUUUGUAAGGUGCUUAUUAGCUUAAGACCUGGCAACAAUUUAGUCUAUACAAUGUUCCCAGACUUGCAAACAUCCAUCAAUCAAAUAGGAAACACUGGAUUUAAUUGUAUGGACUAUGGAGUCUAUAUUUUGACUCUUUGGUAGAUUAUGGAAACAUACAUGAAAGAAAGCAUUGGAC
rnacentral:lncRNA from 1 species